rnacentral:rRNA from 1 species
GUACGGGCGAGUGAACCGGGAUGAGCUCAAAUUUGAAAUCUGGCGUCUUUCAGGCGUCCGAGUUGUAAUCUAUAGAGGCGUUUUCCGCGCCGGACCGCGUCCAAGUCUCUUGGAAUAGAGUAUCAAAGAGGGUGACAAUCCCGUACUUGACGCGACAACCGGUGCUCUGUGAUACGUUCUCAAUGAGUCGAGUUGUUUGGGAAUGCAGCUCUAAAUGGGUGGUAAAUUCCAUCUAAGGCUAAAUAUUGGCGAGAGACCGAUAGCGAACAAGUACCGUGAGGGAAAGAUGAAAAGCACUUUGGAAAGAGAGUUAAACAGCACGUGAAAUUGUUAAAAGGGAAACGAUUGAAGUCAGUCGUGUGGGAAGUAUUCAGCCGUCUCUGGCGGUGUAUUUGCUUCUCACGGGUCAACAUCAGUUUGAUCCGGUAGAAAAAGGCGGGAAGAAGGUGGCACCCUCGGGUGUGUUAUAGCUUCCUGUCAUAUGUGCCGGACCAGACUGAGGAACGCAGCUUGCAGCAAUGCCGGGGUUCGCCCACGUACAAGCUUAGGAUGUUGACAUAAUGGCUUUAAACGACCCGUCUU